UAAAAUUCCCCAGACUACCAAAGCCAUGACGGCACCCCUAUUUUUACCAAGAAUAUUUGUUAUUUGUAUAUCUUAUCUAUUUGCCAAGAAAACGCGCAAUUCACCAAGACUGUAAAAUAAUCAGAUUUUGAGGGUAGAGAGAGAACCCUACAAAUACAAGUGUGUGACGUUUGAACACUCAGAAGUGCGUACAACCUUCACAAAAAUGUGUGACAAUUGUGGCAUGCAUAGAAAAUAUGAUAGCCAUAUCAUUCACAGAAAUUGUGUUGCAUAUAGUUAAAGGACCCAUAGAGUAUUCUGGCGCACGGGAAAAGGCGAAUUAGUUGGAUUCUGCGUGAUAUUGCUGCUGUUUUGCCGCUCAUAAUAAAUGAAGGAACAAAUUCUCAUAACAAACUACAGAUAUCAUAGCAAUUCGGGUGAAUAAGUUUGUGAAACCGUUUCUUUUGCCGUGAGUCUCCCCCGCUCCCUGGACGCACGGUGUUUCGAUGGUAUAUCAGACCUGGCUGCGGGUGGCGCUCGCCAUUAGCGAUCCAGGCGUCGGUGCGGACGGGAGCAGCCAGGACCCCCUGAUACCUCGUCGUCAGAGACACUCAACAUGGCCGUGGCGAGGAUUCUGUCGUUACUGCUGCUGCUGGUCCUCGCGGUGGCGCUGGCCAUCCCGCUGCCACAGGUGGGGCACGCUGGCCACGGGCACCAUAUAACGCCUCAUCACGCGGGUCGCCCUGCUGCGGCCCGGCCCGCCCCCCAGCGCACUUCUGGUUUCAAGCGCCUGCGGUCGUAGACAUGACUGCAUAUUACAUUGAUAGGGCUUUUUGUCUGAGAGCGACUGUUGCGACGAUCCUGUUUUAAUCGACCGUGCACUCAUUUAUUAUGUUGCCGGUGUUUCCUGUGAUUUUUAAUGUACGUGUAGUGUGAUAUUUCUAAAAUUAUUUAUUAUAAAAAUUACGAAAAAAACUGUU